GGAUCCAUAGGGUAGCGGAUAUCCUACCGGGCUUCGGACCCGGAGACGUGGGUUCGAUUCCCACUGGAUCCG
rfam:Methanospirillum hungatei JF-1, complete genome.